rnacentral:lncRNA from 1 species
AUGGGUGGAAAGUUACCACAAGAUAUUCUAUGAACAUAGUAAGUACAAUGUCUUCCUGGAGGGGUAAAAUUUUCCAUUACAAGAUUUUAAGAGAGGCCAUUUAUUGUACUGUUCAAUUUGCGUUCAUUUUCAAAUUUGCCGCGCGAGUAUCUAUGUAGCGUCUCGUGGUCAUUGGUCAUCACAUUUCAUUUUCAUAACAUAACCGAUAACCGACACCGAUAACCUAAAAAUUUAGCAAAGUAAAAAUUUUGAUUGGAAAAAAAUGCAUCGAUAAGGGGGUGUGGGAAAUGGAAAUUAGUGGCUUUUUUGCUGUACUGUCUGCUAGUUUUUGCUCUGGGCUCUGGCUAGAUCUCUUGUUUAAACAAUUUUAAUCAGCUGAAAGUGGCCUACAAAAAAAAACCAAGAAGGAAAUGUAUAGCCUUGUGGCUAUGAAAGGCAAAAGAGAGAUAUAAAAAGUGUAUUGGCUAGUUGGAAGAAAGUCCACAUUGUCCAUGCAUAAUAAGUUAUUACUUUAUCAACAAAUAUCAAGAAGAUAGCAGGGUCACGAGCAUCAACUUCAUGAGUUCAAGAAUAUUGAGGAAAUCCAGCUCCUCGAUACUACUGGGCAAACUAGAAGAUUGAAGAGGACAAAUCCUUUUGAACUAGUUUGAGUGAUAGGUGAUAGUGAAAAACGGAGCAUAGUGCUUGUGUGCUGUGCCUGUGUAUGUUAGAAUAGUGCAUGAUCUUGUUAGAUUAGAUAAGAGACGCUAUGGGGUAAGCUCUUCAUUUUAAGAAACAGUAGUAAUUUAGGUUAAAUUAAAAUUGCUCAUUGGUCAGUUAUGACCAGAUUGUUUUUUUAUGUUUGGCAAAAAGGACUUAAGUCAGAAUUGCACAUUGAUAAUGUUUUGAUGAUUUCUGGACCAGAAAAAAACUGUUGUAGAUGUAAACUGUAUGUACAGUAGAAUCUACUACAGUACUGUAGAAAUCAUCAAAACAUUAUCGAUGUGCAAUUCUGACUUAAGCCCUUUUUCCCAAACAUCAGAGAAUUGUAAUGUACAAUAAUUCUCCUAUCUGCUUUUUCAUGAAUUUUGUAGGAGACGAAAAACCAUUUUUAGGAUCAUCUGCUUUCACAUGUAAAUUUUGACAUGUUUUGUAGUAAAUAGAUAGUUGAAUUUACUACAAAACAUGUCAAAAAAUAUAUGAAAACAGGAGGUGACUAUAAAAAAAGUUUUUAGUCUCUCUUACAAAACUCAUGAAAAAACAAAUCGGAGGUAUGUCACAUCAGUGACUAAGAAUGUCUAAAAAAUAUACUUUGAUGUCCCAAGAACCAAAUAUAACCUACAGUCCAUCUAAUUUACUUACUGUUGCACGUCAUUAUCUACGCCAGAGAUCUAAGUUGACAUAGUUACCAAAGUAUAAAAAGAUCCUGAAUCCAUUUUAAAUCAAAUAUGUCACAUAAUUAUUGUAAACGUGGAUUAUACAACAAAACAAAUUAAUAUUCAAUGUAAAUAAGUAAAAACUUAAGAAAUAGAGAACAAGAAUUAAGUUAUAAUCUUUUAAGAUUUGCAGUGCAAGAGUUUUUGCACUGCAUUGUUAAUAAUUAAAAAACGGCUCCGAACUCUUGGCAAAAAGCCGGUAGGUUUCUUUGUAUAAGUAUGUCUACAAUAACAACUAAAAAAGUUGUCAGAUACCUCGAUUAUUCCAAGUCGUUAUAAAAUUAGGUGAAAUUUAUAUUUUUAUAGUAGAGGAUCUUUUUAUAGUAAAGUAAAUAAUAAAAACAGUAAAUAUAAUAAAUAAAACAGAUACUUAUAGUAAAGAAUAUAAACAAAUAUGAAGUGUCAUCACCGUAACUGUCAAAUAAAUGUUACCAAUUUAUUCUAAAAUGUCACCUUCGUUCGAUUACAGUUACAGUGUGAUCCGAACAAAACAUAUUAUUGUGUAUUUCUUUAGGUUAACAUUAAUAGAAAUCUUCAAAUAUUAUUUCUACGCGUAUAUAAUGAAAUAUGUCUAGUGGCUGUAAUUCCAGUGUACUCAGCAAAGUGAUUCUAAAAAAGAACACACCUACCGCCUAAAUAUUUCGUGUUGGUAUCAUGCGACCUCACAGGCUACUACGCGGAUGACGCGCAACAGUUAGUAAAUUAGACGAAGUAUGUAGAUAUAUACAGGGUGUAACAAAAAUACAGGUCAUAAAUUUAAUCACAUAUUCUGGGACCAAAAAUAGUUUGAUUGGACCUAACUUACCUUAGUACAAAUGUGCACACAAGAAAAGUUACAGCCCUUUGAAGUUAUAUAUAUAUAAUAGCACCAAGGGUCUUAGAGGCCCAUGGCUUGAAAAGUUUGUUUUUUUUCUUCAUUUUCACGUUUCUUUAUGUACUGAGAUCUUCUCUGGCUUGAUAUGUGAUUUUUCUCCAUUCCUUCCUGUUAUUCAUUUUUCUUUUCUGACCCUGUAGCACCAUUCUUUCCAAAUCUUUUUCGACCUCUUGCUUCCAUCUAUUUUUCGGCCUUCCUCUUCUCUUUCUUGAAGCUGUAGUGUAGUUUAGUACCAUUUUUGGAGUCCUCGUGUUUGGCAUCCUUUCAAUGUGACCUCGCCAUCUAAGUCUCUGUGCCUUUAUCAUUCAUUUGAAGUUACAAGAUGAAGUGAUUUUUUCCAAUAUAUCGAAAACUAUUCGAGAUUUUUUAUUGAAAAUGGACAUGUGGCAUUAUUAUGGCAGCA